GUCAGAGAUUCCGGUCCUGCCAGCAGCUCAGUGGUCACAAAGCAAAGGUACAGAGGGAGGAAUGAGAUGGUCACACAAGAAACUCACAAAUGCUGGACUGCCAGAGGCUCAAUCUAUUAUGCCAGAACUCCAGCUGAGCCUGCUGAGAAUGGGAGAAGGAGAAGGAAAGGAGGAAAAUCUGCUUUGGUGCAUCCUGCUGCAGCCGUUCACAAUGCAAGAUGCAAGUAAAAGGAUGGAGUAAAAUGGACCCUCUGCUCAGUCUGGUCCCUCAUGGGCAGUCCUGGAAGAGCAACAAACCCAACACCUCCAAAGUAACACAAGCCACUGAUGAAAGGAAAAGCCAUGUGCUGGUACUACAGGCCUGUGUUGGGAGCAGGACUCUUGUAAUCGGUUCUGGAAGUCACAAGUGACCCAGAGGAAGGAGCUGAAGUCUACUGCCUGAAGUCCACAGAUGUAAAAAAUUUGAAACCUUUUGACUCUUCUUCUGAAUUGGAUUUUUUAGAGAAAGUCUUUCUCAUUCCCCAUGCAGCAAUGGAGUCUCUUUGCAUAUCACAGUCUUAAACCUGCCUGAGGCCUCUUAAUACUUUAAUCAUAAAACCAAAAUUCAAGAAUCAACAGGAAGGACUUUUGGCAGCCACCACAAUCCUGAAGAUACAGAGUCCCUUCCUUAUUUUCUCUACGAGUUUACAGCAGGAUUUAGCUGAAUUCGCUGUGGGACUAUUCCUUCUUUGCCUGCUUCACUGCUGGGAUUUUGGAGAACUUAUCACAGUUCUUAUCACCCCCUCCAUGCUCCUUUGUUUGUCAUGUCUCUUUCAUCAUCUUUCAUCAGGCAGGACCAUGCAGUCUCUUGGACACUGUACAGGUAGAGGUGUCCUCACCCCACAGAUGUUUAACAAAUCUGCAAGGCUGCAUUAUUAUUCUGGCCAGGAGGCACUGCCCUAGCAUGGGAACUGGAGAACAAACAAUCAGGGCACAUGAAGGGACUGAGGGAGAGUUACCAAAGCUGCUCCUCAGUGCUUCAUCAUGGAUUCACAUGGCCCAAUGGGUCUGAAUGCCACAUGAACUCUGACAGCCUACAGGUACCUCCUGCGCUGCACCCUCAGUGCCUCUGAGUGUCUCGGUGGCUUUUCUGAACGGGAAAGCACAGGGGAUUGUGCUGCAGUAUUCUCCAGGUAGCCCCAUGGAAGGUCUAGGGGAGAUAGGAAGAUCCAUGCUGGUCCCAUGGUAAUGAGCCCUGCAUGGC